UAAAAAAAAAAAAAAAAAACUUUUCCUUGCCGCACCUUAGCACCUAGGCGAGAGAGGCACUCACCUCUCUCCACAUGGGCACGCCUCGCUCGGGUGACAUGAGGCAAGACAACCUCGCCUCGUGCCUCAUUUGGCGCCUUUCCUUGCCUUUAAUAACACUGGUUGGGGGCUAGUUGGGGGAGAGAAAAUUGGUUGGUAGACUUAGGGCAUGUCAAUACUUUUUUAGCAAGUUGAGUUGAUUCUAUGUGGUUGAUUUAAUAAGACCAUCAAAUAUAACUAUAAAGUUAUGAUGUAAAUACACGUUAAAGGCCAAUUAAAUCCAUCCAAUAAAAAAUUUUAGAAGAGAAAAUAUCCUUGAGGUCUCUAAGGCUUGUGCCUUGGUGCUUCACUAUGAUGCACGGACACUGCAAGGGGUGGCAUUUCCCCAUGUUUUCCCCAUGUCGGAAACGUUUCCGACACGGAAACAGCGAGACACAGCUGGGAGGCGUUUCGGGGCCGUUUCCGCAAUUUUCAAAAGCCGGAAGCAUGUUUCUUUUAAAAAAAAAAAGUUUAACACAAACAGAGUCAACCUGGAAAUUGCGCUGAAGAAGAAGAAGAAGAAGAAGA
rnacentral:misc_RNA from 1 species